AGAGUUUGAUCAUGGCUCAGACGAACGCUGCGGCGUGCUAAUACAUGCAAGUCGAGCGAGCGGAACCAACAAGAUUUACUUCGGUAAUGACGUUGGGAAAGCGAGCGGCGGAUGGGUGAGUAACACGUGGGGAACCUGCCCCUAAGUCUGGGAUACCAUUUGGAAACAGGUGCUAAUACCGGAUAAUAAAGCAGAUCGCAUGAUCAGCUUUUGAAAGGUGGCGUAAGCUGUCGCUAAGGGAUGGCCCCGCGGUGCAUUAGCUAGUUGGUAAGGUAACGGCUUACCAAGGCGACGAUGCAUAGCCGAGUUGAGAGACUGAUCGGCCACAUUGGGACUGAGACACGGCCCAAACUCCUACGGGAGGCAGCAGUAGGGAAUCUUCCACAAUGGACGCAAGUCUGAUGGAGCAACGCCGCGUGAGUGAAGAAGGUUUUCGGAUCGUAAAGCUCUGUUGUUGGUGAAGAAGGAUAGAGGUAGUAACUGGCCUUUAUUUGACGGUAAUCAACCAGAAAGUCACGGCUAACUACGUGCCAGCAGCCGCGGUAAUACGUAGGUGGCAAGCGUUGUCCGGAUUUAUUGGGCGUAAAGCGAGCGCAGGCGGAAAAAUAAGUCUAAUGUGAAAGCCCUCGGCUUAACCGAGGAACUGCAUCGGAAACUGUUUUUCUUGAGUGCAGAAGAGGAGAGUGGAACUCCAUGUGUAGCGGUGGAAUGCGUAGAUAUAUGGAAGAACACCAGUGGCGAAGGCGGCUCUCUGGUCUGCAACUGACGCUGAGGCUCGAAAGCAUGGGUAGCGAACAGGAUUAGAUACCCUGGUAGUCCAUGCCGUAAACGAUGAGUGCUAAGUGUUGGGAGGUUUCCGCCUCUCAGUGCUGCGGCUAACGCAUUAAGCACUCCGCCUGGGGAGUACGACCGCAAGGUUGAAACUCAAAGGAAUUGACGG
rnacentral:rRNA from 1 species